rnacentral:lncRNA from 1 species
UUCAUUUAGGGAGCUACCAUUUGAUUUUUAUUGGGGGGCUAGGAUGAAAAAUUUUGUCCUGCAUUUUUUUUUAGUUGUAAUCUCUGUCCUGCCUUUUUAUUUUUCACUCUAUUCGGUCCUGCCUUUUUUUUUAUUAGUUUAUCCUGACUUUUUUUACCUAAAUUGUCAUCCUGCCUUUUUUUUUUGCCAAGUGUCUCAUCCUGCCUUUUUUUUUUUACUAAAAACUCCUGUCCUGCCUAUUUUUUUCAAAUUUCAUCCUAGCCCCCCCAUAAAAAUCAAAUGGUAGCUCCCUUAUCUAUGUUC